UACGGCUACAUCUUGUUGAAAAACCGAUUUCCGUACGAUCAGCUAAGUUAAGCAACGUCUAGCUUGGGCAGUACCGAGAUUCGUGAGGGCUUGGGAAUACCAUGUGCUGUAA